UACGUAGGUGGCAAGCGUUGUCCGGAAUUAUUGGGCGUAAAGCGCGCGCAGGCGGUCCUUUAAGUCUGAUGUGAAAGCCCACGGCUCAACCGUGGAGGGUCAUUGGAAACUGGGGGACUUGAGUGCAGGAGAGAAGAGUGGAAUUCCACGUGUAGCGGUGAAAUGCGUAGAGAAUGUGGAGGAACACCAGUGGCGAAGGCAGCCCCCUGGGUCGACACUGACGCCUCAGGCACGAAAGCGUGGGGAGCAAAGCAGGAGUUAAGAAACCCCGUGAGACAGUCC
rnacentral:rRNA from 1 species